UACGAAGGGGGCUAGCGUUGCUCGGAAUCACUGGGCGUAAAGGGUGCGUAGGCGGGAUCUUAAGUCAGAGGUGAAAGCCUGGAGCUCAACUCCAGAACUGCCUUUGAUACUGGGAUUCUUGAGCUCGGGAGAGGUGAGCGGAACUGCGAGUGUAGAGGUGAAAUUCGUAGAUAUUCGCAAGAACACCAGUGGCGAAGGCGGCUCACUGGCCCGAUACUGACGCUGAGGCACGAAAGCGUGGGGAGCAAACAGG
rnacentral:rRNA from 1 species